rnacentral:rRNA from 1 species
ACGGGAGGCAGCAGUGGGGAAUAUUGGGCAUGGGCGAAAGCCUGACCCAGCAACGCCGCGUGAAGGAAGAAGGUCUUCGGAUUGUAAACCUCUUUUAUGAGGGACGAAGGACGUGACGGUACCUCAUGAAUAAGCCACGGCUAACUACGUGCCAGCAGCCGCGGUAAUACGUAGGUGGCAAGCGUUAUCCGGAUUUACUGGGUGUAAAGGGCGCGUAGGCGGGAAGGCAAGUCAGGUGUGAAAUCUAUGGGCUUAACCCAUAAACUGCACUUGAAACUGUCUUUCUUGAGUGCUGGAGAGGUAGACGGAAUUCCUUGUGUAGCGGUGAAAUGCGUAGAUAUCAGGAAGAACACCGGUGGCGAAGGCGGCCUGCUGGACGGUAACUGACGUUGAGGCUCGAAAGCGUGGGGAGCAAACAGGAUUAGAUACCCUGGUA